UGAAGCAAGAAGUCCAUCAAGGAAAGGCUGGCUUCCAGUAGCACCUGGAGGUUAUUAGGGGCUGAUUUGAGACUAGCCAGUCAGCUUCCAAGUCUGAAAGUUCCCUAACCUCUUAAAUUUUACCACAGCCCUGGACUAGGACACAGCAUUUCCUCAAAACCUCAUAAAAAUCAACUCAACAGCUACACAAAGCCAUGUGAUAAAGGGUAGAUUUAAGAAGAAAAUCCUAACCUUUUGCUCCUGCUUUUGAAAACUUCAGAUGAACAAGCAUAUUCACUGCAAACUUCAAGGUGCCAAGUGACAGACAGUAUGCACUCAAUCCCCAUGAUGAACAUAGAAACUGGGGUUUGAAAGCACCUGCAGUGAAUGAAAAAUAGAAAUUCACACUGGGCUUGCUGAAACAAAAGCUACAGCCCUGGCUAAUGCAAGAGGUGAGUCACAGAGUGUCCACUUCAUCUCCUGGGAGCCCCGGUGUCAGGGAAAGGGAACAAAGCUGCUCCCAAACAAAGCUCUUUUGGGAAACCAUCUACUUUCAUUCAAAGACAACCUGAAACGGUCAACUCUUGGAGUCACCGAAGUCCUCUUUCUCCCCUCCUACCCAUACCUUCAUGGAGACCUAGACCGCAGACAUUUUGCUGGAUAACCGAGCUGCUGGGAGUUGAUGACAUGAAGACAUGCAUUCAUGUACCAACAAAGCAAUAAUCAAAGAGGAAUCUAACCCUGAGAAGCAAACUUAAUCCAGAAGCUCAAGCAGUGGCAACUAGAAGGACCCAGAGUGAACAGUACACAUCUGUGCUAUGGGUAAAUGUGUCUGUGAAUCAAGCAAGCAAGAUGCCCAUGAAUCAAGCAAGACCAAUGAAAAAAAAGAAAAAUUCCCUGUUAGCUCCCCUUUUAUACAUGUGCCCCUGCCUCACAUGAAUCAGUCAGGAGGAGACAUAUUAUAGCUAUGGAGGAAUAAAGAACAAAGGGAACACUUA